UAAUGGAAUGAACUCAGGACAAAACCCUUGUCUCGGGUCUGCGUCAUUCUAAUAGCAGAACAAACUUCAUGCUGUCAGCAGCAAAAGAGAUGACUGGAAAUCACCUUUAGCUUUUCCAUCCAUUAUGACAGCAUGGGCAGAACGAGGAAGGAGGACAGCAAACAGGAUGAGAAACCACAGAUGAGGUGGCAGGCAGGAGGCAUGCGCUGUAUCCAUCCAAGGACAAAGAGAGGUGGCAGGAGCUAAGGCUGUGACCAGGAGAGAAAUGUGAGCCGA
rnacentral:lncRNA from 1 species